CAGUCAACCAGGUAACUUUAUAAACGAUGAAUUGUAAACAUAACAGAUUAACUAGCGAUACCCAGAAAAUGAGAAGAAGGGUCAAAAAAUGUGUAGAGGAAGUCAGAGAACAGAAAGGUCAUGGAGGCCAGGAAUGUGCUGUCAUUUAUACAGCAUUCAAGAGAUGUUUAUUGAUAUAUACUUAGGACCGAAACCCAAAAGUUCACUCAAUGUGGCAUGAAAUUCACCCCAAAGUGACAAAUCCUUGAAGAGUUGUAGAGUGAACGGAGAGCACAAAGCAAAUGUUCUCUUUAUCUGGCCCACUGAAGGCAAAACUUGGAAGAAAGGUUGGAAUUCCCUGCCCAGGAAGUGGGAUAUUAGCAAACAUGUGAGAGAAGCAGGAUCUUUAAAAGGAGCUCACGUGAUUCGGCCUGUUCUCUAGCACCUCUGCCAUU
rnacentral:lncRNA from 10 species